GAAGGCGGCCUUAUUUAUAGAUUUCUGUGCUUGAAAUUUUCCUGACAGGGAUGAAUGACUUAUAUUCUCCCGGAGAUGACUGAAUUUUCCUGCCCUUGAGACAGAUAGGUAGUGCUUCAAGUCUGAGAUAAGAACAUGGAAAAUAUUCUGAUGCCAACUACAAUUAGCUUGGCUGCACUUACAGACAAAAGUAAAAAACACAUUUUGGGUAAAUGCCAACAGCAGGUCAAAGCUGUCAGUGUCACAGUGAUGCCACACACAAACUGAAAGUUCAAAGGUCAACAACUAUGCUAAAAAUCAGUAAGGGUGACAGUUUUGUUGUAUGCAACAGAAAAUUCAGGUCAUAAGCAGGAAGGAAGAAGACACUCUGACCUGACACUUGACCUUUGCAGGCCACUGAAUGUCACCCAAUCUGACUGACGUAUGCAGAAAAAGCUUUUAAGACACCUUCUGGGUGGAGCAGAGUCACAAAAGUGAAACUUUACCUAAAGCUAUAACUCAGGCAUAAGAUGUUUAUGACCAACCACUUACUGAUCAGUGUUGCUGCUGAUGCAUCGUGUCUUCACCUCAGGGCAGUCUUGUGACACCUCCACAAACCUAUAGCCAGGAGGAAGAGCCUCAGGGCGGCUAAAGUGACAAACAACCCAUUCACAGUCUAUAUCAGCUCCAACACUGGUCUUACUGCAGGCUAUACUUGCUGACAUUUAAAUUCCAGCACUGUUUUUAAAUGCUAAGAAUUUGUUCCAGUUUAGUGGUUGCCUUUUCCAUCAGCUGAUGGUACAUAGCUCCAGCUAAAAGGUCUAUGGAGAAGUACUUGCUUUCAGCACCAGAUUUAAUUUAGUAUGAACACACCAGGUGCUGCUCCAUCAGCAAAGGGGCCAUGUAGGCUCCUGUGUACAUUUUAACAUAGAGUUCAGGAACUGAAGGCAGGUUUCUGAUGUCACUGUCACAUGGCUGCAUUCAAGCAGACUGUGUUGCUGGCAAAGAAAACUGAAACUGCGCAUUAGACAGUUCACUGACUGCAUUGGAACAGCUUACUAACUUAGUUUGUUUCUAUAAAUAGGGAUCAUCAGAGCUCAAAGAGGGGAAACAGAAGUCUCUCUGUCCCAGCAGUCUUUUCCCUGAUGUUUAAACAGCAGGAGAGUCCGGGGACCUAAACUGAAGCUAAUUAGCUAAUUCAUGAGGCCUGAAGGGAGCAACAUGUGAUUUAAUGCAGUCGACAGCAACAGCCAUGUUUCUUAACAACAGGAUUUGUCAUUAAUUUCUAUACAAUCUGAACAGUUUCUCACAUUAGCAGUAAAAUAUGGAAAGUACGCUUUAAGAGUGAAGUACAAAUGUAUCCUGGGAAACACAGAAGGAUUACAGGCAAGUCAUCUCUACUGGAGUGUUGUAUCUAAAGAUAUGCUUGACUUUGUAGUUGCAGUAGCACAUAUGAAAACAACAUCUACUGCUGCACACUGAGGGGACAUAGGUUUGUUUUAAAUCAACACCUUAGAUCAGACAUGGCUUGUUACACACACCAUAUUAUGUUGAUAUGUAGAUUAGUUACACUGGCAUUCUUACUAGAGAAGUGACAUUUCUUUUCUGAAUAAGGGCAGCGACUUUUGGCUUAUAAGAUGUCAGUGCAAUCUGAAGACAAUGGUGAAGAGAACUGUCAUUCAGUGAACAACGAGAGCUGCUUUUUAUCGAGUUUGUACGUGAAAAGCUUGAUUCAUGUGUAUGUCGACCCAAACAUACCGAGCAUGACGACUACUACUUUCUUAAUGUUAGGAAACUGGUGGGUGUUGACAUCAGUCCAAAACUCGUCAGUGGAGGGGCUCACCGCAAAGCCCCCGUCUCUUACAACACCGAAUGGGUCUCUGGCAAAACUCAUCACCUCUGUGGGUAGAGCGAGUCCAUGUAAUCGACCAGAAAGGUUCUCUUUCAACUUCGCAAUGAAAUCAAUCAUCACAUCCACGACUUGCGCCGAUGAUGAGAUGCAUUUGCGGAGUGUCGGAAAAUGCCCCCUGUGCUCAACUCAGUCGAAAAAAGGUUCAUCUUGACUUUAAAUGCACACAAUGUUAAUGACAGUUUUGGCUCUGUAGUCAAACAUUUAGGUUAUUUAGAUGCUUGAGUAUGUCGCUCAGAAAGCAGACACUGGCCAUAAAGCUGUUGUCCAGAAUAUCAUUCAAGUGUUUCUGCUUCUUUUCUUUUUUUUUUUGCGUGCUACUGGGAAAGAAAGUUGUGAUCUCCUCCCUUUGAGCACCGCAACACGCUCACUGCAAAUUAAACACAGGUUUGGCAUUUGGAUUUGGCGGUAAAUUAAACAAGUACUCGACAGUACUUGUUUGCUGUAAAUGUGACACAGUUCACAUUAGCAAAAGAAGCUAUUUUAACCAGUGUUCCUUCCAUAUAAUAAUUCGUAGUUUUAGCAAAUUAACUAUAGUUUUUCUCUGCCUUUUGAUUUUUUUUUUUUUUUUUUUUGGAUGACCAUUCAAGGCGCUUCCGCUGUUACCAUAGUUACUGAGUAACAAACCGCCGUCGGACGUCACGAGUCAGCAAACGUAAUGCUUGUUUUUCGUGGGAUUUUCCAAAACUGAUUAACAGAUAAUAUUUAGGAAAAUGGAGUCAAAAACCAAACAACCAAUUUUUCCUUGGUACAGGGAAAGGUUGCAAGCAAAGUAUCUUAAAGCCCCGGAUAACAAGCUGUCAUCUAGCAGGUGUUGGCGUUUUACAAACUCGAGUCUCUGCUCAUCAGUGACACCUGGGGUCGACACAGGAGUCUCACCUCUUAUUUUCCCGGGGACUCAACAGCACAACUCCAGUCAAAAGCCUAGAAAGAGCAUCUCUAAAGAGCAUGCCUGCUUCUCAAAGCAGAUGAUCCAGAAGCAGAUUCGCAGUACGUAUGUCGCUUCUGUAGAGGAAAAACUCAAGCAGCACCCUCUGGCUAUGUACCCUCACUAUAAGGAUCACCUGACUCCUGAAGUAAGCUCCUCUAUGCCAGAACGACAUAACUUCGGGUUAGGCAGAUAAAUGAUGCCUGAAUGAAGGCAAAUACCUUCAUACUGUGUUAAAACAUAUUUACAUGGUCUUAUUGUUCUCUAGUUAUUUAAUCGGGUGGUGGCUGUUUUAGACCCAGAUAUGUGCGUAAGCAAUGCCUCUGGACUUCCUGCACCUUCAGAAGACCUUGUGGAGGAGGAGGUCAAAACAGGAAACACCCAAACUUAAAAUGAUGAAUGCUUC